ACUAGUGAUUCCGUAGGUGAACCUGCGGAAGGAUCAUUACUGGUUUGAGAGAAUGGAGUAAUCCAUUUCGAUCAUAUCCAAACAAUUCUCGGUUUUCUGAGGAGGCUGGGGGCUCUGCUCCCUCUCUCUCCUCAUUGCCGUGCGGCCACUCUUGCCUGAGUGGUCGGCGACACCGCGAGUGGCGGUCUGGCCUGUCAAGGGCCAGGUCAUUGCCGGUGGGCUGGUGCAGAGGUUCAGUACCCCAGAGACCGAUCAGAGGGGAUAUCUAACUGAUCAAAGAGCUUUCGCCUCUGCAACUGGCUUUUGCUGGGCUCUUCCCCUUGUUGGGAUGGCUCAGAUGUGUGAAACUUUUACAGUGUUGUUCUCGAGACAACGAAUGUUGUUGAAAAUAUAACACUGCACAGUGUAUCACUUGGCUCGAGGGUCGAUGAAGAACGCAGCUAACUGCGCGUCGGAAUGUGAACUGCAGGACACACGAACAUCGACAUUUUGAACGCACAUUGCGGACAGAGGAUCACUUCCUCUGUCCAUGCCUGGCUCAGGGUCGGUUAAACAUCCAUCCAGCUUUUGCUGGCAUUGGGCUCUCUCGGUGUGAAAACCGAGUGGCUUCAAGUUUGUGCUGUGACGGCGACUGCCUGCACUGAUCCUUGGUUCUAACGAACUGGGUCUUUACUGGCGACUGCAGUCUUUUUGCAGCCGGAUGUGGGGGGAAUCUCUCUUCCCCAAAUCCACCCCACUUUAACUCUCGACCUGAGAUUAGGCAAGGUUACCCGCCGAAUUUAAGCAUAUCA
rnacentral:rRNA from 1 species